GCUGUACAUGUCUGCCUGGCAUGGUUCAUCUGACCUUGACCUCAUUUUCAUGGUUCAUUGAUCCAUGUUUCGUUUUCUUGGUUAAUGUUGAGUUUAUGUGACAGUUGUAAUAAAGCUUUAUAUUUAGGUCUAUCAACAUAAUAUCAAUGAUUAGUAAAGAAGGCGAGACAUUUCAGCGUGUGCACUCUUGUUUAACAAAAU
rnacentral:lncRNA from 1 species